UACGUAGGGCGCAAGCGUUGUCCGGAAUUAUUGGGCGUAAAGAGCUCGUAGGCGGCUUGUCACGUCGGGUGUGAAAGCCCGGGGCUUAACCCCGGGUCUGCAUUCGAUACGGGCUAGCUAGAGUGUGGUAGGGGAGAUCGGAAUUCCUGGUGUAGCGGUGAAAUGCGUAGAUAUCGAGAGGAACACCUGCGGCGAAGGCGGGUUGCUGGGCCGACACUGACGCUGAUGCGCGAAAGCCAGGGGAGCGAACGGG
rnacentral:rRNA from 1 species